rnacentral:rRNA from 1 species
AACGAACGCUGGCGGCAUGCCUAACACAUGCAAGUCGAACGAGACCUUCGGGUCUAGUGGCGCACGGGUGCGUAACGCGUGGGAACCUGCCCUUAGGUUCGGAAUAACUCCCCGAAAGGGGUGCUAAUACCGGAUAAUGUCUUCGGACCAAAGAUUUAUCGCCUUUGGAUGGGCCCGCGCUGGAUUAGCUAGUUGGUAGGGUAAAAGCCUACCAAGGCGACGAUCCAUAGCUGGUCUGAGAGGAUGAUCAGCCACACUGGGACUGAGACACGGCCCAGACUCCGCGGGGGGGAAGGAGGGGGGAGUAUGGAACAAGGGGGGAAAGCUGGAUCAACAAGUCCCGGGGGAGGAAAGAGGCCCUAGGGUUUGAAAAUUUUUUUUACCGGGAAUAAUAAGGAGAGACCGGGAAAAAAAGGCUCGGGCAACCCCCGUG